rfam:Myotis lucifugus cont2.9061, whole genome shotgun sequence.
GCCCGUGUGGCGCAGGGGAUACAGUGUCAGCCUGCGGGCUGAAGGGUCCCGGGUUCGAUUCCCGGAAAGGGCA